GUGCCAGCAGCCGCGGUAAUACGUAGGUGGCAAGCGUUAUCCGGAAUUAUUGGGCGUAAAGCGCGCGUAGGCGGUUUUUUAAGUCUGAUGUGAGAGCCCACGGCUCAACCGUGGAGGGUCAUUGGAAACUGGAAAACUUGAGUGCAGAAGAGGAAAGUGGAAUUCCAUGUGUAGCGGUGAAAUGCGCAGAGAUAUGGAGGAACACCAGUGGCGAAAGCGGCUCUCUGGUCUGUAACUGACGCUGAGGCUCGAAAGCGUGGGGAGCAAACAGGAUUAGAUACCCUGGUAGUCAAGGGCG
rnacentral:rRNA from 1 species